GACGAACGCUGGCGGCGUGCUUCAGACAUGCAAGUCGAGCGGGCGGAGGCCGAACCGCAAGGUGAGGCUGAAGCCAGCGGCGAACGGGUGAGUAACACGUGGGUAAUCUGCCCGGAAGACUGGGAUAACGGUUCGAAAGGACCGCUAAUACCGGAUAGUGUCGUCUUUUCGCAUGAAAGGACGAAGAAAGGCUUCGGCCACUUUCGGAUGAGCCCGCGUCCCAUCAGCUGGUUGGUGAGGUAAAGGCUCACCAAGGCAACGACGGGUAGCCGGUCUGAGAGGAUGGUCGGCCACACUGGGACUGAGAUACGGCCCAGACUCCUACGGGAGGCAGCAGUCGGGAAUCUUGGGCAAUGGGCGGAAGCCUGACCCAGCGACGCCGCGUGAGGGAAGAAGGCCUUCGGGUCGUAAACCUCUGUCAUGGGGGACGAAGGAAGUGACGGUACCCCAAGAGGAAGCCCCUGCUAACUACGUGCCAGCAGCCGCGGUAAUACGUAGGGGGCGAGCGUUGUCCGGAGUUAUUGGGCGUAAAGGGCGUGUAGGCGGCCUGUUAAGUCAGGUGUGAAAUUUCAGGGCUUAACCCUGAAACUGCGUUUGAAACUGGCAGGCUUGAGGACAGGAGAGGGAAGUGGAAUUCCCGGUGUAGCGGUGGAAUGCGUAGAUAUCGGGAGGAACACCAGUGGCGAAGGCGGCUUCCUGGACUGUACCUGACGCUGAGGCGCGAAAGCUAGGGGAGCAAACAGG
rnacentral:rRNA from 1 species